rnacentral:lncRNA from 1 species
GGAGAGAAGGCAAAGAGAGAGCAGAUCUAGGCACCGACAGAGGUAGAUCCGUGGGCUAGGUGGCCGACGGUAGGAAGGGAGAGGGAGAAUCCGAUUUGUUUAGAGAGAAGGGAGAGAGUUAGGCGGCUAGAGAGAGAGGCAAAAGAGAGAAAAUGGGGAGAGGAGAAAAAAAAAAGAAUUUAUAGUUAGGGUUUGGGAGGUUUAAAACGACGUCGUUUUGAGACUCAUCAACAAAAUUAGCCAAUCCUUCUAAACGGUGUCGUUUGGGCGCACAACAGGGCAACUGAAGCAAGGCACUAAACGAUGCGUUUUGACUGGAAGCGGGGGGGGGGGGGGGGGGGGGGGGGGGGGGGGGGUGGGGGGGGGGGGG